rnacentral:rRNA from 1 species
AGUGAACGCUGGCGGUAGGCCUAACACAUGCAAGUCGAACGGCAGCACAGUAAGAGCUUGCUCUUACGGGUGGCGAGUGGCGGACGGGUGAGGAAUACAUCGGAAUCUACUUUUUCGUGGGGGAUAACGUAGGGAAACUUACGCUAAUACCGCAUACGACCUACGGGUGAAAGCAGGGGAUCUUCGGACCUUGCGCGAUUGAAUGAGCCGAUGUCGGCUUAGCUAGUUGGCGGGGUAAAGGCCCACCAAGGCGACGAUCCGUAGCUGGUCUGAGAGGAUGAUCAGCCCCCCUGGAGCUGAGACACGGUCCAGACUCCUCCGGGAGGCAGCCGUGGGGACUAUUGGACACUGGGCGCAAGCCUGAUCCAGCCAUACCGCGUGGGUGAAGAAGGCCUUCGGGUUGUAAAGCCCUUUUGUUGGGAAAGAAAAGCAGCAGGUUAAUACCCCGCUGUUCUGACGGUACCCAAAGAAUAAGCACCGGCUAACUUCGUG